UAGGGAAUAUUGCGCAAUGGGGGCAACCCUGACGCAGCAAUACCGCGUGAGUGAGGAAGGCCUUCGGGUUGUAAAGCUCUGUCCUUAGGGAAAAAAGCAUAAUGGUAAAUAAUCAUUGUGUUUGAUGGUACCUAAGAAGAAAGCACCGGCUAACUUCGUGCCAGCAGCCGCGGUAAUACGAAGGGUGCAAGCGUUGUUCGGAUUUAUUGGGCGUAAAGCGCGCGCAGGCGGAUUGAUAAGUCAGGUGUGAAAUCUCGAGGCUUAACCUCGAAACUGCGCCUGAAACUAUUAGUCUAGAAUAUCGGAGGGGGAAGGAGAAUUUCUCGUGUAGGGGUAAAAUCCGUAGAGAUGAGAAGGAAUACCAGAGGCGAAGGCGCCUUCCUGGCCGAAGAUUGACGCUGAGGCGCGAAAGCGUGGGGAGCAAACAGG
rnacentral:rRNA from 1 species